UGGGUAACCUGCCUCAAAGAGGGGAAUAGCCUCCCGAAAGGGAGAUUAAUACCGCAUAAUAUGUUUAAGUCGCAUGACUUUAACAUCAAAGGAUUUUCUUUUAGAAAUUCCACUUUGAGAUGGACCCGCGGCGCAUUAGCUAGUUGGUGAGGUAACGGCUCACCAAGGCAACGAUGCG
rnacentral:rRNA from 1 species